AGUCCAGUAUUGAUUGCAGCUACAAUAUGUUUAUGGUCAUGCCUCCAUUAGAGGAUGAGCCAGCAGACUGUGGUAUACCUAUGAAAGUAGCAUAUGUACUCAAUCAAAACCAAUCAGUCACAGAGGAACUGCUGAGUGAGAUG